GGCGAUGAAGGACGUGGCACUCUGCGAUAAGCCAUGGGGAGCCGAGAGCAGGCUUUGAUCCGUGGAUUUCCGAAUGGGGCAACCCACCCCUUUGGGGUAUCCAUUUCUGAAUUCAUAGGAAAUGGAGGCGAACCCGGUGAACUGAAACAUCUCAGUAACCGGAGGAAAGGACAUCAACCGAGACUCCGUUAGUAGUGGCGAGCGAACGCGGACUAGCCCAGUGACUUGAAGUUUCUAACCAGAACGGCAUGGAAAGGCCGGCCAUAGCGGGUGACAGCCCCGUAUGGGUGUUGAACCUUUAAGUCCUUGAGUAGGGCGGGGCACGUGAAACCCUGUCUGAACAUGGGGGGGACCACCCUGCAGGCGGCAC
rnacentral:ncRNA from 1 species